rnacentral:rRNA from 1 species
GACGAACGCUCGCGGCGUGCCUAAUACAUGCAAGUAGAACGCUGAAGAGAGGAGCUUGCUCUUCUUGGAUGAGUUGCGAACGGGUGAGUAACGCGUAGGUAACCUGCCUUGUAGCGGGGGAUAACUAUUGGAAACGAUAGCUAAUACCGCAUAACAAUGGAUGACUCAUGUCAUUUAUUUGAAAGGGGCAAAUGCUCCACUACAAGAUGGACCUGCGUUGUAUUAGCUAGUAGGUGAGGUAACGGCUCACCUAGGCGACGAUACAUAGCCGACCUGAGAGGGUGAUCGGCCACACUGGGACUGAGUCACGGCCCAGACUCCUACGGGAGGCAGCAGUAGGGAAUCUUCGGCAAUGGGGGCAACCCUGACCGAGCAACGCCGCGUGAGUGAAGAAGGUUUUCGGAUCGUAAAGCUCUGUUGUAAGUCAAGAACGAGUGUGAGAGUAGAAAGUUCACACUGUGACGGUAGCUUACCAGAAAGGGACGGCUAACUACGUGCCAGCCGCCGCAGUAA